GACGAACGCUGGCGGCGUGCUUAACACAUGCAAGUCGAACGGAAAGGCCCUGCUUUUGUUGGGUUCUCGAGUGGCGAACGGGUGAGUAACACGUGAGUAACCUGCCCUUGACUUUGGGAUAACUUCACGAAACUGGGGCUAAUACCGGGUAGGAGCUCCUGCUGCAUGGGGUGGGUUGGAAAAUUUCGGCGGUUGGGGAUGGACUCGCGGCUUAUCCGCUUGUUGGUGGGGUAGUGGCUUACCAAGGCUUUGACGGGUAGCCGGCCUGAGAGGGUGACCGGCCACAUUGGGACUGCGAUACGGCCCAGAAUCCUACGGGCGGCAGCAGUGGGGAAUAUUGCACAAUGGGCGGAAGCCUGAUGCAGCAACGCCGCGUGCGGGAUGACGGCCUUCGGGUUGUAAACCGCUUUCGCAUGUGACGAAGCGUGAGUGACGGUAAUGGGUAAAGAAGCAACGGCUAACUACGUG
rnacentral:rRNA from 1 species